rnacentral:misc_RNA from 1 species
AAGACUAUAGACCUGCGGAGUACCUGCGGAAGGAUCAUUACCGAGUUUACAACUCCCAAACCCCUGUGAACAUACCACUUGUUGCCUCGGCGGAUCACCGCGCCCCGUGAAACGGGCCGGCCCGCCAGAGGACCCAAACUCAAAUGUCUUAUUGUAUCUUCUGAGUAAAGAAACAAAUAAAUCAAAACUUUCAGCAAUGGAUCUCU